CCGCCCCUCAGCGACCGCCGCGGUCCCUGGCUGUCCCCUCGCCGUCCCUCAGUGCCUCAGCGACACGCCGCAGUCCCUCACCGGGCAGUCUCGGUUCCCCACUGUCGCCUCUCAACGCCUUAUCCCACCCCGGUCCCUCAGCGCCUUAUCCGCCUCAGCGCCUUGGUCUGUCACCGCCCCGCAGCGCCCUGAUUCGGUCCCUCAGUCCCCUCAACCCGCCUCGGUCCCUCAUUCUCUUCAUCCCGCCUCAGCCCCCCACUAACUCCCUCAGCCCCUCAGCCCGCCCCACCUCGCCUCGGUUCCUCAGCCCCUCACCGACCGCCCCUCACUGCCCUCCCUUCACAGAAUCACAGCAUUGUUAGAGCCGGAAGGGACCCCUGGAGAUCAUCCAGUCCAACUCCCCUGCCAAGGCACAGUCACCCAGAGCAGAUGACACAGGAACAUGUCCAGGAUCUCUUCCCAGGAAAGCUGGGCAUGGAGCAGCACAGGAAGCAAACCCAUCACUUCAAGCAUGUCUCUAAGAAAGUACUAAGGGAUGGAAAAUGAGCAAAGGAGUGUGUAAGAUGCUGGAUGGUGAAUUCCGACCACUCUGGAGAGCAAAUCAUGACUGUGUUGCACAUGGAACAAGUUUAUUCUCAGUCAUCAGAGCUGCAGAGCAGGAGAGAAGCAAGUGGCUGAAUUCCAAGAAAGCCAUGGAGUGGAAGUGAAGGUUCAAACAGCUUGUGUGUAAGGUUAAUGUCUGUCAGCUGUGGGGCAGGCAAAAAGAAGCUUUGCAGAACCAGGCACUGAAGACAUAGUCCAUAAAGGGUCAGGUGGUGCCAUUGUGAUUAUUGUAGAUUCAGAAUUACUGUUGAGAAGGAUGUUGCAUACAAGUGGAGUGGUUUCCUCUUUCAACUGAAGCCAAACCAACAACAUUUCAUUAACUUCUUUUCCUUCUUCUUUACUCCAGCUGUGUGAUCUAAUACAGCAGUAUAGAUGCUGGAAGCUUGGCUCAAAAACCAGCUGGAUACAUUGAUGGAUCAAAGAAUGAGCUAUAUCACGAAUUACCAUUACAUAUAGACAUCACCUCAGUCUGUCUGUGAGGUUGAACUAGAAACCAGAGAGUGCUUUACAGACCAUCUUCCAGUGCAGAGUGUUCAGGGACUGCUGGAGUCCCACGGAUCCCAGCUGCACAGUGCUCCUCUAGCAAAGCUGUUGGAAUCUUGGAACUGAAAGAUAAUCAGCAAAGAUUGGCUGAUGAGCCAAGGCUGCAGCA